AUUGAACGCUGGCGGCAGGCCUAACACAUGCAAGUCGAGCGGAUGAAGGGAGCUUGCUCCUGGAUUCAGCGGGGGACGGGUGAGUAAUGCCUAGGAAUCUGCCUGGUAGUGGGGGAUAACGUCCGGAAGCGGGCGCUAAUACCGCAUACGUCCUGAGGGAGAAAGGGGGGGAGCUUCGGACCUUCCGCUAUCGGGUGAGCCUAGGUCGGGUUAGCUAGUUGGUGGGGUAAAGGCCUACCAAGGCGACGAUCCGUAACUGGUCUGAGAGGAUGAUCAGUCACACUGGAACUGAGACACGGUCCAGACUCCUACGGGAGGCAGCAGUGGGGAAUAUUGGACAAUGGGCGAAAGCCUGAUCCAGCCAUGCCGCGUGUGUGAAGAAGGUCUUCGGAUUGUAAAGCACUUUAAGUUGGGAGGAAGGGCAGUAAGUUAAUACCUUGCUGUUUUGACGUUACCAAAAGAAUAAGCACCGGCUAACUUCGUG
rnacentral:rRNA from 1 species